rnacentral:rRNA from 1 species
UACAGAGGGGGCAAGCGUUAUUCGGAAUUAUUGGGCGUAAAGGGCGCGUAGGCGGCCAUUCAAGUGACGGGUGAAAGCCCUCGGCUUAACCGAGGAACUGCCUGUCAGACUGGAUGGCUUGAGACCGGGAGAGGUGAGUGGAAUUCCCAGUGUAGCGGUGAAAUGCGUAGAUAUUGGGAGGAACACCAGUGGCGAAGGCGGCAUCCUGGACCAACACUGACGCUGAGUGAGCGAAAGCCAGGGGAGCAAACGGG